rnacentral:lncRNA from 13 species
GUGAGGUUGGGGUCUAAUUUCAGUUUUAACUGCCACUAACAAUGUGACCAUAGGAUUUUAUUGUUGUUUUUGUUCAGCAUUUAUUGUGCCAUAUUUUAAGACACACACUUUAGGCAAAAAAGAUAGCAGGAACAAAGGUGUGGUACGUCCACUGAACAGGGAGGGAGAGAGCUGGAUGUGGGAACUGGCCAGUUUCACUCUGGGGAGUCUAUGAGACAAAGAUUCUGUUUUUCUGCAGAACAAACUGGUCGUUACCUUCAAAUAACACAGAAAGACAAAAAUCAGUAAGUUUUAUUUCCACAGGCAGUGAAAAUGUGAAGAUCUGAGUGGUGUGAAAUGAAGUCACUUUCAGAGAAAACGUUUUGCUGAAAUUGAGAGUGAACUAUAUAUGCCUAAGUCAUACACCGAAAGCAGGAGACCUGUCCAGGGGACACACAGCCCCACAAUGUCCCCUCACCACCAAAAAAGAAAAGGUCAACAGAUAUCUGCUUCUUCACAGUGCUGAGAAUUUACUAAAAGGUCUGAUGGCAGUGAAAAGUACUGAAAGACUACCUAAUACAUGAACUCCUAAGUCAGACUUUCAUGAGAAUGUGAAAGGAGAGAGCCAGUUUGGGAAAGGUGAGACUACUUGAUUACCUUGAAUUUUAGGGAUAGGGCAGUUGUGAUUAAUUGCAUAUUCUGCUUGACUGAGGAUCAGCCACAAAACCUCUUAUAUUUCUUUUAUUGUCAUUCAAAAUGUUUCUAAGAUAAUGGACUUUUGCAAUAAUGAAGAAUUAUGUGAGACAUUGAGAUUCUGGAGUUAAGUAGAUUGACGUUCGGAUCCCACCUUGACCAUGUAGAAUGUAUUAAGCAAUUGAUUUAGCCUCUGUGAGCUUG